rnacentral:lncRNA from 1 species
ACCUGGUUUCCUUUCUCUCCGUCCUGAGUUCGCUGCAGUCCAAUGUCUGAAAACAGUUGCUUCAUAUAUUUUGUCCAGUUUUCUGGAUGCUUAUGGUGGGUGGAAAAAUUCGGUUCUGGUUACGCCCACAUGACCAGAAGCUGUCUGCUGUUAUUUUCAAAACAGCAGAUUAUCCAGAGAUGAUCCUUCAAAGCAACUGUGAUGACGUCAACCCUCAUUGCUAAGCUAUGGACACGGAAACCAAACAUCCAGACCAUCCUGGGAGAGCUCGCUCGACACGGCUCUCACGCAUUAGAAACGGGCUCAGCUGCUCCUGCUUCCUCUGCUCAGCAUCCACGAAAGCGGAGGCCCCCCGUCGUGAUUCAGGGGCCGCCCCAACCCCGCGUGACCGCCG